AAGUUAUUGUCCUGGCAACAGGAGCGACCAUAAAGAAGCCGUCGAGAGACAUCGGAAGAGUUUUCUUUCCUCUUAUAUAGUCGUACUACCAUGGAAGUCUUUCGUAGAGAGAUAUGGUAGAUGGGCUAGAAGAGCAUGACAUUCACUGUCGAUAUUUUCUCCUCGGAUCUUGAAACUUUAUAGUGGGGUCACGCAAACUU
rnacentral:ncRNA from 1 species